GAUGACCACAAGGGGAGCCUCAGGCUGAGAGUGAACAAACCGUUCUGACCCUUUGAACCUGUUAGUUAACGCUGGCGUAGGGAUGUGGCAAAGUAAAACU
rnacentral:ncRNA from 1 species